GACAGAGGUGCCGAGCGUUAGGCGGAAUCACUGGGCUUAAAGCGUGUGUAGGCGGGUGCCUAAGUACCUUGUGAAAUCCCACGGCUCAACCGUGGAACUGCUUGGUAUACUGGGGUAUCUUGAGCCACUUAGGGGGCAACCGGAACAAACGGUGGAGCGGUGAAAUGCGUAGAUAUCGUUUGGAACGCCAAUGGUGAAAACAGGUUGCUGGGAGUGUGCUGACGCUGAGACACGAAGCCAGGGGAGCAAACGGG
rnacentral:rRNA from 1 species